rnacentral:misc_RNA from 1 species
CUAUGUACUAAGUAAGUUUAGUUAAAGUUAUAUAUUUUAAAUAUGUCCUUUCACCAUAAUGAUUUACAAUCUAGUUGAAGGGAAAUAUAUAUACUAUGACAAACGGAACAGUAAAAUGGUUUAACGACUCUAAAGGUUUUGGCUUUAUCACUGCAGAAGAUGGGACAGAUGUGUUUGCACACUUCUCAGAAAUUCAAAGCAGUGGCUUCAAAAAACUUGAAGAAGGCGAAAAAGUAACUUUUGAUAUUGCGGAAGGCCAACGAGGCGCUCAAGCAUCAAAUAUUUACCACGCAUAAUUAAAAUCACUCUUAGGAGUGGUUUUUUUG